CAGAGUUGCAAAACUCCAACAAACCAUCGCGAAUCUUACCCGUACGGUUGCCUCGGCGCUGGCGGUCCGGAAGGCCCUCGGGCCCCCCGGAUCCUCGGGUCUCCCGCUCGCGGGAGGCUGCCCGCCGGAGUGCCGAAACCAAACUCUUGAUAUUUUAUGUCUCUCUGAGUAAACUUUUAAAUAAGUC